rnacentral:tRNA from 1 species
GUUCGAAUGGUGUAGUGGUUAUCACGUGUCGUUCACACCGACAAGGUCCCCGGUUCGACCCCGGGUUCGAACA